CCGGCUCUACCGGUUUGCCGAAAGCCGCUGUUCAUACUUAUCAGGCCCAUCUUGCCAGUGCGCAAGGUGUGUUAUCGCUGAUACCGUUUGGCGAGCACGAUGACUGGUUGCUCUCUUUACCGCUGUUUCACGUCUCCGGCCAGGGAAUGGGUGAAAAGCCCGCUCGCCGGAAGACCAAGGGUUCCUGUCCAACGUUAAUCGGGGCAGGGUGAGUCGACCCCUAAGGCGAGGCCGAAAGGCGUAGUCGAUGGGAAACAGGUUAAUAUUCCUGUACUUGGUGUUACUGCGAAGGGGGGACGGAGAAGGCUAUGUUGGCCGGGCGACGGUUGUCCCGGUUUAAGCGUGUAGGCUGGUUUUCCAGGCAAAUCCGGAAAAUCAAGGCUGAGGCGUGAUGACGAGGCACUACGGUGCUGAAGCAACAAAUGCCCUGCUUCCGGGAAAAGCCUCUAAGCAUCAGGUAACAUCAAAUCGUACCCCAAACCGACACAGGUGGUCAGGUAGAGAAUACCAAGGCGCUUGAGAGAACUCGGGUGAAGGAACUAGGCAAAAUGGUGCCGUAACUUCGGGAGAAGGCACGCUGAUACGUAGGUGAAGCGACUUGCUCGUGGAGCUGAAAUCAGUCGAAGAUACCAGCUGGCUGCAACUGUUUAUUAAAAACACAGCACUGUGCAAACACGAAAGUGGACGUAUACGGUGUGACGCCUGCCCGGUGCCGGAAGGUUAAUUGAUGGGGUUAGCGGUAACGCGAAGCUCUUGAUCGAAGCCCCGGUAAACGGCGGCCGUAACUAUAACGGUCCUAAGGUAGCGAAAUUCCUUGUCGGGUAAGUUCCGACCUGCACGAAUGGCGUAAUGAUGGCCAGGCUGUCUCCACCCGAGACUCAGUGAAAUUGAACUCGCUGUGAAGAUGCAGUGUACCCGCGGCAAGACGGAAAGACCCCGUGAACCUUUACUAUAGCUUGACACUGAACAUUGAGCCUUGAUGUGUAGGAUAGGUGGGAGGCUUUGAAGUGUGGACGCCAGUCUGCAUGGAGCCGACCUUGAAAUACCACCCUUUAAUGUUUGAUGUUCUAACGUUGGCCCCUGAUCGGGGUUGCGGACAGUGUCUGGUGGGUAGUUUGACUGGGGCGCCCUGGAUUAGUCGGCGCGCUGCUGGUUGGCGCGACCGUGGGGCGUUCUCUGGCGUUUGCCUGGGACGUUCCGGCGAUCCCGGUACACCAUAUGGAAGGGCAUCUGUUAGCGCCGAUGCUGGAAGAUAACCCACCGGAAUUUCCGUUUGUGGCGCUGCUGGUUUCCGGCGGUCAUACGCAGUUAAUCAGCGUGACUCAAAAUGCAGACUAACCCGCAGAUCCAGCAGCGAAGAGAGGCAGCGCGUGAGCGUAUUCAGUCCGCCUCUCCUGAGCAGCGCCAGGCAGUCCGCGAGAAAAUGCAGACUAACCCGCAGAACCAGCAGCGAAGAGAGGCAGCGCGUGAGCGUAUUCAGUCUGCAACUCCCGAAC
rnacentral:rRNA from 1 species